AGCCGCGGUAAUACGAAGGGACCUAGCGUAGUUCGGAAUUACUGGGCGUAAAGAUUAUGUAGGCGGCUAGAUAAGUUAAUUGUGAAAGCCCAAAGCUUAACUUUGGAAUUGCAAUUAAAACUAUUUAGCUAGAGUAUGAUGGAGGAAAGCGGAAUACAUAGUGUAGAGGUGAAAUUCGUAGAUAUUAUGUAGAACACCAGUUGCGAAGGCGGCUUUCUGGAUCAUUACUGACGCUGAGAUACGAAAGUAUGGGUAGCGAAGAGGAUUAGAUACCCUCGUAGUCCAUACUGUAAACGAUGAUUAUUAGAUGUGGGGAAUUAUUUCUCUGUAUCACAGCUAACGCGUUAAAUAAUCCGCCUGGGGAGUACGACCGCAAGGUUAAAACUCAAAUGAAUUGACGGGGACCCGCACAAGCGGUGGAGCAUGUGGUUUAAUUCGAAGCAACGCGCAGAACCUUACCAACCCUUGACAUGUUCGUCGCGAGACUAAGAAAUUAGUCUCUUUCGGUUCGGCCGGACGAAACACAGGUGCUGCAUGGCUGGUCGUCAGCUCGUGUCGUGAGA
rnacentral:rRNA from 1 species